rnacentral:rRNA from 1 species
ACAUAGGCUUCAAGCGUUGUCCGGAUUUAUUGGGCGUAAAGAGUUCGUAGGCGGUCGAGUAAGUUGGGUGUGAAAAUUCUGGGCUUAACCCAGAGACGCCACCCAAUACUACUUAACUAGAGUUCGGUAGGGGAGAGGGGAAUUCCUAGUGUAGCGGUGAAAUGCGCAGAUAUUAGGAGGAACACCGGUGGCGAAGGCGCCUCUCUGGACCGAUACUGACGCUGAGGAACGAAAGCAUGGGUAGCAAACAGGAUUAGAUACCCUGGUAGUCCAUGCCGUAAACGGUGGGCACUAGGUGUGGGUUCCAAUUAACGGAAUCCGCGCCGUCGCUAACGCAUUAAGUGCCCCGCCUGGGGAGUACGGUCGCAAGACUA